rnacentral:rRNA from 1 species
CAGUAGCCGCGGUAAUACGAAGGGGGCUAGCGUUGUUCGGAUUUACUGGGCGUAAAGCGCACGUAGGCGGAUCGAUCAGUCAGGGGUGAAAUCCUGGAGCUCAACUCCAGAACUGCCUUUGAUACUGUCGAUCUCGAGUCCGGAAGAGGUGAGUGGAACUCCUAGUGUAGAGGUGGAAUUCGUAGAUAUUAGGAAGAACACCAGUGGCGAAGGCGGCUCACUGGUCCGGUACUGACGCUGAGGUGCGAAAGCGUGCGGAGCAAACAGGAUUAGAUACCCCGGUAGUCCCUGUCUCUUAUAC